rnacentral:lncRNA from 1 species
AAAGCGCAGUGCAUGGGUGCUAUUACUGCGGUGCUAUAGUUGUCACACCAUUUACCCUUCCUCCUUUAUGGUCCCCUCUCCCUGUUCGGACUUCAGCUCCACAGAUGUGGGCUUUGAUCUGCUAGACUCUUCUCUCCCCCAGCAUGCAAUGAAUCUAAAAUUCUCUUCUAUAGAGGAAAAACGUGUUCAUUUUUACAGGGAGAGAGAGAGAGGGGAUGCUGGUAAGGUGCCUCAUUAAAAUAAUGAAUUGAAAAUGGGAGGGGUGUUAAGGACCAAGUAGGCCCAUGCCAAACUAUUUUAGGACCUCUAACAACUAUUCAUCCAACUAAACUCAUAUUUAACAAACAAUUGAGCCAGCACCUUUGUGUAUCUGUAGUCUAUGUAGUGAGGGUAGCAGUGGCUUCAAAAGGGGCAGAAGGAGCCAUCUCGAGGUAUGGAAACUGACUCAAGGAGACAUGGGAAGGAGACAGCCAAGGGUGAAUGGGUGGAGAGGACACCAAAUGCCCAGGUUCUAGUCCUGGCUCUGCCUCUGACCCCACGUGAGAUUUGAGGCAGGUCCCUUCCCCAGUCUGGGUUGCAGUUUCCCCAUCUGUGAAAUAAGGGGUUAGGCCAUGAGAGCUCUGGGACCAUACACCUGAGAGGAAAUUGGAGGGGAGGAUGUGCUAAAAGGAGCCACAAGAGAGCUCUGCUGUAGGGGUUAAGAAAAGUCACCCACCUCUCAUGCCGCUUAUAAAAACCUGACAUUGACAGUGAGAUGCUGCACGACACAGAGACCUCUUUCAUUGUUUAUUCAUGUGAUCCUCAGAACAACUCUGUGAGGUAAGCGUCUGAGGUGUUUCUAUUCCUGUUUUACAGAUGGGGAAAAUGAAGUUCAAAGCAGGCUGUCCUGACUACAAGAUGCCGUAUUGUUUCUGAGAUGCCACCAUGGUGGUUGCCUCUUGGCUCAGUGCCAGCUCACUCCAGGAGUGGAGAUGAGUUCCCGGGUUCCACAUCACUCAACACCAUGCCACACGUCGUGUGUGCUCUGCAAAUAGCUCUUGGUGGUAGAGAACCAGACCAGCUGCAUAUACCUGCUGCUGCUACUGCUAAGUCACUUCAGUCGUGUCCGACUCUGUGUGACCCCAUAGACGUCAGCCCAUCAGGCUCUCCCGCCCCUGGGAUUCUCCAGGUAAGAACACUGGAGUGGUUUGCCACUUCCUUCUCCAAUGCAUGAAAGUGAAAAGUGAAAGUGAAGUCACUCAGUUGUGUCCGACUUCUAGCGACCCCAUGGACUGCAGCCCACCAGGCUCCAUCAUCCAUGGGAUUUUCCAGGCAAGAGUACUAGAGGUUGUUUUAUCGCUCCCUUUCCAAUUAUCAUGCCUCUGUUGUCAGAGAUCCAGGAGGGUAUUUGGACCUUGCCCUGUGAAUAAUGCUUAAAUCUUUUCUGACUGCCUCCUACUGUAGAUUCACAACUUGGGAAGGACUAACAAUUUCCAUGAGGAAUUUGCUUUUCCCAAAGUGUAUCAAGUCCCCAAGUAAAACAGAGUUCAGUGAGGGAAGGAGAGAGUUGUUUGCUGCAGCGUACAGAGAUGCGUUCAUUGUCUGUAACCAUUUAGUAAGAAUUCAUUAUGUGUCACAGGUUCUGCUGGGGAUAAGACUUUAAAAAGGUCAAUUAGCAGAUGGGGAAAACAUUUCAUUUAGGCUCUAUUUUAUAUCACAGGUGAAUUAUUCCAAUUAUAAUAGAUGGUCAAAUACAAAAGAAACACCAAAUAUAAACAUAAAAACAAAAACCAUAAAACUUUCAGAAAAAACUUCCAGGGUAAAGCAAGGAAGGUUACACAUGGUUAAAGAAGUCACAAAGAACAAACACUGGCAGAUUGACUACAUAAAAAUUAAAACACUUUGGCAUAGCCAAAAUUAAAAUGCAAGCCAUCAGAAAGGAUAAAAAGUUAACAUUUACUUGGAAGAUACACAUAAAUUGAAACAAACAAAAAACCCCCACUAAGAAUGACCUCAGUACCUAAAAGAACAAGGAAAUGGAAACUAAAACCAUAAUGAAAUAUGGACUUUUUGCUUAUUAAAAUUAAUUGUGUGUGUGUUAUGGUAGAGAGAAAUGUUUUGAUUUUAAAGCUGGGUGCUGAAAUACCAUAAAUGGGAAAGCCAUUUUUUUGGAAAAAUAAAUCACUUUGUUGGGAAAGAAAGCCCCGGGCAUGGUCUGUUGAGAAUUGCUCUGUAGAGCCAUGAGGGAAGGAGUUUGAGUUUAGGGGACGAUGGGUGUGGGUAUGUGAGGGGCAGUUCUGAAGGGGAUGGGAUAAGAAAGACCGAAUAAUGAAAGUCAUAGCAAAAACACUGGAGUGGGUUGCCAUGCCCUCCUCCAGGGUAUCUUCCCAACCCAGGGAUCCAACCCUGGUCUUCUGACUUGUAGGCAGAUUCUUUACCAUAUGAGCCACCAAGGAAGCCCAAGAAUACUCGAGUGGGUAGCCUAUCCGUUCUCCAGAUAUCUUCCUGACCUAGGAAUCAAAGCUGUGUCUCCAGCAUUGUAGGUGGAUUCUAUACCAGCUGAGCUACCAGGGAAGCCCCCACAAGGAGAGGAGAGGGAAGCAAUUUGAUCUCUGGGGAAUGGCUUAUGAAAUUUGUGGAGAGUGAUGUGGCUUCUUCUGUUAAAUUUUAAGUUCUCUGCUGAGCUAUAUGCCAGAAUCCUCAGUAAACAUCUACUCCACACGACUGCCAUGGGAAUUUACAGUGCUUUAAGGACAUCAAGAAAAGGGGGCUAUUUGGGUUGAGACAUAACCUAAAGAAGGAAGCAGGCCCAGGAGGUGAGAGGCAACUGAGAUUGAAUGGCAAAGCUGGCUGCUUCAAACAAAAAAGAUAAGAGAUAAAAGCAUUUUUAUAUUAAUAAUAAUAAUAAUAAAAACAUGGCUAUACUGAAAACCAAAAGGGAAAGUUUUAAGGGGCAGGAAUAAGGGCCCCCAGAGUGGUCAGGAGUAGUUGAAGCCAUUUGGCCCUCAGAACCUGAUGUAGGGGCUGGGACCACAGUGUGUGAGGCAGGCAUUUGUCUUGGGCUUGGCAGGGAUGUGCCCACCAUCAGAGCACAUCAACACAGCAGUCAAACUCAUGGUUCUUGAAGAGUGGUCCCUGAGCCAGUGGCAGCUGCAUCCCCCAGAGAAGGUGUGAUGAAUGCCAAUUCUUAGGUCCCAUUCCAGAACUAUUGGACCAAAAGUCUGGGGGUGAGGCCCUAUAUCUUUUAUAACACAGGGAUUCCAUUACACAUGAGAGUUUGAGAACUGGUUUAAACUAUACCUCAGAGGGGAGAAUCCAGUAGUUAUUAUUUAUUCAUUCAUCAAUGUAUUUAACAGAUAUUUAUUGAGUGCCUGUUGUAUGCCAGACAUGGUUAUAGACUCUAGGAGUACAGAAAAGACAAGAAUAGAGUCCUAGUUCUGGUACCAUCUGAUAAGGAUUUUAGCAUUUUCUUUCAGCCAUUCUCACAUGCCUCAUACUAUGUUAUUAACUCUCUUUCCAGUUUGUCAAGGCUGAAAUCCUUAGUGCCCUUCUUUUAUUCUCAUACUCCACCUCAGGAAAUCUUGUUGACUCUACCUUCAAAAUAUAUCCAGAAUUCAGUCUCUUAUUAUCACUCCACUGUCCUUACCUUGGCCCGAACCACUGUUAUCCACAGUAAAUGAAGUGAGAGAUGGCGAAGCUUUGAACCAGAAUCAGAGAGAAGGGUGGAGCAGCGAUCAAGUAGAGCAUUGUUUCAACACUUCACCCAAGUGACUUACGUAAAGUUCAAGUCGCACUCUUAUCCUAAAUACCUAUAUGACUUUGAAUUUCACUCAGAGCAAAAGUCCAUGUUCUUAGAGUAGUAGACAAGGGUCUCUGAGGCUGUGUGUGAUUAUCCCCCACUCUCACAUUAGUGUUAAUUCUGCAGCUUUGUAGGUCACCUCGCUGUGCUGUUCUCUAACAUAACAGAGAGACCCCGACUUUGUGGCCUUUGCACUAGCUGAUUCCUCUGUCUUGAACACUCUUCUCUCACACGUUUGCAUGGCUAAUUCACUUAUAUCCUUCAGGUUUGGGGCCAGAUGUUACUUUCUCAGUGGCCUUAUUUUAAAUGGUCUUAUUUAAAACUAUAACACCAUGCUUACUCCUUAUAGUCCUGACUCCCUUCCUACUGCUCACCAUUGUUUCCAUAACCCUAGAUUCAAGGAUGUGAUACAGUUUACUUAUGCCUUGUCUGUAUCCUCCAUUAGAACAAAAGCUCUCUGAGGCCAAGAUCUUUCUCUAUUCACUUUCUGCUCUAAACCAAGUGCCCAGAACAUUGUUCAGCAUGUAGUGGGCACUGAAUAAACAUUUAUGGAAUUAAUAAAUAAAAUAUUUCAUGCUGUAUAUUGCUAUUAUAAGUCAGAUUUCUUUUAAAAAAAUUUUUUUAGCUUUUUUUUUAUGAUAGUUAUUCAAAAGCAGAGACAUUACUUUGCCAACAAAGGUUCAUCUAGUCAAGGCUACGGUUUUUCCUGUGGUCAUGUAUGGAUGUGAGAGUUGGACUGUGAAGAAGGCUGAGCGCCGAAGAAUUGAUGCUUUUGAACUGUGGUAUUGGAGAAGACUCUUGAGAGUCCCUUGGACUGCAAGGAGAUCCAACCAGUCCAUUCUGAAGGAGAUCAGCCUGGGAUUUCUUUGGAAGGGAUGAUGCUAAAGCUGAAACUCCAGUACUUUGGCCACCUCAUGCGAAGAGUUGACUCA